rnacentral:rRNA from 1 species
UACGUAGGCAGCAAGCGUUGUUCGGAGUUACUGGGCGUAAAGAGUGUGUAGGCGGUUUGCCAAGUUCGGUGUGAAAUCUCCCGGCUCAACUGGGAGGGUGCGCCGAAAACUGGCAGGCUGGAGUGCGGGAGGGGAGAGCGGAAUUCCUGGUGUAGCGGUGAAAUGCGUAGAUAUCAGGAGGAACACCGGUGGUGUAGACGGCUCUCUGGACCGCAACUGACGCUGAGACACGAAAGCGUGGGGAGCAAACAGG